rnacentral:rRNA from 1 species
GGAAAUUUGAGAAGACCUGUCCUUAGUACGAGAGGACCGGGAUGGACGUACCUCUGGUGUACCAGUUGUUCUGCCAAGGGCAUGGCUGGGUAGCUAUGGACGGAAUGGAUAAGCGCUGAAAGCAUCUAAGCGCGAAGCCAACUUCAAGAUAAGAUUUCCCACCGCAAGGGUAAGACUCCAGAAAGACUAUCUGGUUGAUAGGUCGAAGGUGUAAGUGCAGCAAUGUAUUUAGCUUAUCGAUACUAAUAGGUCGAGGACUUGACCAAU